GCAGGCUGCAACUCGCCUGCAUGAAGCUGGAAUUGCUAGUAAUCGCGGAUCAGCAUGCCGCGGUGAAUACGUUCCCGGGUCUUGUACACACCGCCCGUCACACCAUGGGAGUCGGAAAUGCCCGAAGUCUGUGACCCAACCUACGGGAGGGAGCAGCCGAAGGCAGGUCGGAUGACUGGGGUGAAGUCGUAACAAGGUAGC
rnacentral:rRNA from 1 species